rnacentral:rRNA from 1 species
UGGUGGAGUGAUCUGUCUGGUUAAUUCCGUUAACGAACGAGAUCUUAACCUGCUAAAUAGACAGUUUUUGACUUUCUUCUUAGAGGGACGACCUGAUCGUAUAGGUCAAGGAAGUUUGAGGUAAUAACA